ACCCAUGCACCUAAACAUCUCCUUCUUUUCCCAUCUGCAUACAGCACCCUCCCCUUGUUCAUGGUGUAAAUGGUAGUUCUAGUGAAUGAAGGUGGUGAUGGUGAGGAAAGGCGAUGGCAGAGGUGGCAGCUAGAUGGUGGUGAUGGCGUGAUGGUUCAAUUGGGAUGAUAACCAGCCUUCAAGUUGAACACAGAGGUCUCAAAGGCGAGCACUAUUGUCGAUUCCUCUCUAUUGUUUUUAUUUUGAGGUUUUGCCAUUUCAUUUUCGAAUGCUUGAGGAAGCUGCUGGUUUUGAGGUGACGUUGGAAUUGGAGGUUGAGGGAACGAUCGACAUUUGGGUGAGAAUGGUUUUUGCUUUUAA
rnacentral:lncRNA from 1 species